rnacentral:rRNA from 1 species
GGUGAACGCUAGCUACAGGCUUAACACAUGCAAGUCGAGGGGCAGCACAGAGAUAGCUUGCUAUCUUGGGUGGCGACCGGCGCACGGGUGAGUAACGCGUAUCCAACCUGCCCAUUACUCUGGGAUAGCCUUGCGAAAGUAAGAUUAAUACCGGAUGUUGUUAAAAACCCUCAGGCGUUUUUAACCAAAGAUUUAUUGGAAAUGGAUGGGGAUGCGUGACAUUAGGUGGUUGGUGAGGUAACGGCUAACCAAGCCUACGAUGUCUAGGGGUUCUGAGAGGGAGGUCCCCCACACUGGAACUGAGACACGGUCCAGACUCCUACGGGAGGCAGCAGUGAGGAAUAUUGGGCAAUGGACGAGAGUCUGAACCAGCCAAGUAGCGUGCAGGAUGACGGCCCUCUGGGUUGUAAACUGCUUUUAGUUGGGAAUAAAAAGAGGGACGUGUCCCUAAUUGUAUGUACCAUCAGAAAAAGGACCGGCUAAUUCCGUGCCAGCAGCCGCAGUAACAC